UACGUAGGGUGCAAGCGUUGUCCGGAAUUAUUGGGCGUAAAGAGCUCGUAGGCGGUUUGUCGCGUCUGCUGUGAAAACCCGAGGCUCAACCUCGGACUUGCAGUGGGUACGGGCAGACUAGAGUGUGGUAGGGGAGACUGGAAUUCCUGGUGUAGCGGUGGAAUGCGCAGAUAUCAGGAGGAACACCGGUGGCGAAGGCGGGUCUCUGGGCAACAACUGACGCUGGAGGAGCGAAAGCCGUGGGGAGCAAACAGG
rnacentral:rRNA from 1 species